AUGAUGAAACAGAGAAGCUCUGUGACAACCAGGGCCAGCUUGGGGGAUUGGCAUUUGCCAAACAAUGAGCAGGGGUCAUCUGUCCAGUGUGGUCAAGAGGACACCCCAAGGGGUUAGGAAUAUAAGAACAAAACAAUCAGCAGGCGGGUCUGCGGCAUUCUAAGAACAGACACUGGCAGGAACAAAGGUUACAGAAGUGAAUGACUCUAAGAAUCAAGCAAGACAUGGAGUGGCAGAAAAUUAAAUUCUGAAUCCCUAAAAGACAUGAUGCAAAGAUGACCUCCUCUCCCAAGGACAUGUCCUCAUCCUGCGCUGACCGUGUGUGGUCAUUUCAGAAAAAGCGAACAAUGGAGAACCUGCUUGAAUGAUACUUAGACCUGGGACAACUGAAAGGAGUUGCACUUAUACAAUUCGGUGCAGUGGAGUCCCCUGGGAGGAGCCCCAGUCACACGGGAAGAGACAGUC
rnacentral:lncRNA from 1 species